GAUUAACGCUGGCGGCGUGCAUAACACAUGCAAGUCGAACGAUGAAACUUAAAUGAUUUCUUCGGAAUGAACUUAAGUGGAUUAGUGGCGGACGGGUGAGUAACGCGUGAGUAACCUGCCUUACACAAGGGGAUAGCCGUUGGAAACGACGAAUAAUACCCUAUGAAACUAUCACUUCGCAUGAAGCGAUAGUCAAAGUGUUAGCGGUGUAAGAUGGACUUGCGUCUGAUUAGCUAGUUGGUGAGAAAAAAGCCCACCAAGGCAACGAUCAGUAGCCGGCUUGAGAGAGUGUACGGCCACAUUGGGACUGAGACACGGCCCAGACUCCUACGGGAGGCAGCAGUGGGGAAUUUGGCACAAUGGGGGAAACCCUGAUGCAGCGACGCCGCGUGAUUGAGAAGGCCUUCGGGUUGUAAAAAUCUUUUGUAUAGGAAGAAAAUGACAGUACUAUACGAAUAAGGUCCGGCUAAUUACGUG
rnacentral:rRNA from 1 species